UUAAAACAAAGGAAAGAGACGGUAUAGUAAAAUAGUUGUAGAGAGCUAAUGGUUGGUGAAAAUUAGUAUGAUAGUUACUAUAUAGAUCACUCUUGAUGUGUUUUUCUGAAUAUUUUAAGAAAAACCGGAAGUAAAUUCCGUUAUCAAAAAGAGAGCACUUAAGUGAAGUAAGGUGGUACCGCGGUUAUUCGUCCUUAUA
rnacentral:ncRNA from 1 species